rnacentral:rRNA from 1 species
AGCGAACGCUGGCGGCAGGCCUAACACAUGCAAGUCGAACGAACUCUUCGGAGUUAGUGGCGGACGGGUGAGUAACACGUGGGAACGUGCCUUUUGGUUCGGAAUAACUCAGGGAAACUUGUGCUAAUACCGAAUGUGCCCUUCGGGGGAAAGAUUUAUCGCCAUUAGAGCGGCCCGCGUCUGAUUAGCUAGUUGGUGAGGUAACGGCUCACCAAGGCGACGAUCAGUAGCUGGUCUGAGAGGAUGACCAGCCACACUGGGACUGAGACACGGCCCAGACUCCUACGGGAGGAAGCAGUGGGGAAUCUUGCGCAAUGGGCGAAAGCCUGACGCAGCCAUGCCGCGUGAAUGAUGAAGGUCUUAGGAUUGUAAAAGUCUUUCACCGGGGACGAUAAUGACGGUACCCGGAGAAGAAGCCCCGGCUAACUUCGU